GAAAGGGACCUAGCGUAGUUCGGAAUUACUGGGCUUAAAGAGUUCGUAGGUGGUUAAAAAAGUUGGUGGUGAAAUCCCAGAGCUUAACUCUGGAACUGCCAUCAAAACUUUUUAGCUAGAGUAUGAUAGAGGAAAGCAGAAUUUCUAGUGUAGAGGUGAAAUUCGUAGAUAUUAGAAAGAAUACCAAUUGCGAAGGCAGCUUUCUGGAUCAUUACUGACACUGAGGAACGAAAGCAUGGGUAGCGAAGAGGAUUAGAUACCCUCGUAGUCCAUGCCGUAAACGAUGUGUGUUAGACGUUGGAAAUUUAUUUUCAGUGUCGCAGUGAAAACAAUAAACACACCGCCUGGGGAGUACGACCGCAAGGUUAAAACUCAAAUGAAUUGACGGGGACCCGCACAAGUAGUGGAGCAUGUGGUUUAAUUCGAAGAUACGCGCAGAACCUUACCAACACUUGACAUGUUCGUCGCGACUCUAAGAGAUUAGAGUUUUCGGUUCGGCCGGACGAAACACAGGUGCUGCAUGGCUGUCGUCAGCUCGUGUCGUGAGAUGUUGGGUUAAGUCCCGCAACGAGCGCAACCCUUACUUUUAGUUGCCAUCAUUAAGUUGGGCACUCUGAAAGAACUGCCAGUGAUAAGCUGGAGGAAGGUGGGGAUGACGUCAAGUCCUCAUGGCCCUUACGUGUUGGGCUACACACGUGCUACAAUGGUAUCUACAACAGGAAGCAAAACAGCGAUGUUAAGCAAAUCCCAAAAAGAUACCUCAGUUCGGAUUGCACUCUGCAACUCGAGUGCAUGAAGCUGGAAUUACUAGUAAUCGUGGAUCAGCGUGCCACGGUGAAUACGUUCCCGGGUCUU
rnacentral:rRNA from 1 species